CGGGUGAGUAAUGUCUGGGAAACUGCCUGAUGGAGGGGGAUAACUACUGGAAACGGUAGCUAAUACCGCAUAACGUCGCAAGACCAAAGAGGGGGACCUUCGGGCCUCUUGCCAUCGGAUGUGCCCAGAUGGGAUUAGCUAGUAGGCGGGGUAACGGCUCACCUAGGCGACGAUCCCUAGCUGGUCUGAGAGGAUGACCAGCCACACUGGAACUGAGACACGGUCCAGACUCCUACGGGAGGCAGCAGUGGGGAAUAUUGCACAAUGGGCGCAAGCCUGAUGCAGCCAUGCCGCGUGUAUGAAGAAGGCCUUCGGGUUGUAAAGUACUUUCAGCGGGGAGGAAAGGAGUAAAGUUAAUACCUUUGCUCAUUGACGUACCCGCAGAAGAAGCACCGGCUAACUCCGUGCCAGCAGCCGCGGUAAUACGGAGGGUGCAAGCGUUAAUCGGAAUUACUGGGCGUAAAGCGCACGCAGGCGGUUUGUUAGGUCAGAUGUGAAAUCCCCGGGCUCAACCUGGGAACUGCAUCUGAUACUGGCAAGCUUGAGUCUCGUAGAGGGGGGUAGAAUUCCAGGUGUAGCGGUGAAAUGCGUAGAGAUCUGGAGGAAUACCGGUGGCGAAGGCGGCCCCCUGGACGAAGACUGACGCUCAGGUGCGAAAGCGUGGGGAGCAUACAGGAUUAGAUACCCUGGUAGUCCACGCCGUAAACGAUGUCGACUUGGAGGUUGUGCCCUUGAGGCGUGGCUUCCGGAGCUAACGCGUUAAGUCGACCGCCUGGGGAGUACGGCCGCAAGGUUAAAACUCAAAUGAAUUGACGGGGGCCCGCACAAGCGGUGGAGCAUGUGGUUUAAUUCGAUGCAACGCGAAGAACCUUACCUGGUCUUGACAUCCACGGAAGUUUUCAGAGAUGAGAAUGUGCCUUCGGGAACCGUGAGACAGGUGCUGCAUGGCUGUCGUCAGCUCGUGUUGUGAAAUGUUGGGUUAAGUCCCGCAACGAGCGCAACCCUUAUCCUUUGUUGCCAGCGGUCCGGCCGGGAACUCAAAGGAGACUGCCAGUGAUAAACUGGAGGAAGGUGGGGAUGACGUCAAGUCAUCAUGGCCCUUACGACCAGGGCUACACACGUGCUACAAUGGCGCAUACAAAGAGAAGCGACCUCGUGAGAGCAAGCGGACCUCAUAAAGUGCGUCGUAGUCCGGAUAGGAGUCUGCAACUCGACUCCAUGAAGUCGGAAUCGCUAGUAAUCGUGGAUCAGAAUGCCACGGUGAAUACGUUCCCGGGCCUUGUACACACCGCCCGUCACACCAUGGGAGUGGGUUGCAAAAGAAGUAGGUAGCUUAACCUUCGGGAGGGCGCUUACCACUUUGUGAUUCAUGACUGGGGUGAAGUCGUAACAAGGUA
rnacentral:rRNA from 1 species